AUGUUGAAUUUAGGAUAUGAGAUUGGUAAGACCAUAAUCCAUGGACCAGUCUUCAAUUGUUAUCCUGUAGUUCAUUUUGGUCUUGAGGGGAUUUGUGUCCAGAAUGGGGGUUUUGAUUGUUGCUGGUUGAAUCUACUGACAACACAAGUUUUGAUUUCUCCUGGUUAUGUAUCUCAUGGUGGUUCACAGGUUUUUUCCCCGUGGAUCCAGCACCUGUUCCUUGUGAUCUGUAGCAUCAGGAGACACGAGGUCACCUCCGGUGCCGCUGGUCACGUCAACGCCGUUAAAAAAUGGUGGUCAGUCCAGCUCCUGCAACCAAUACAGGUCGUUGCCCCUUUUGCCACAACGACAGCAGCACAAACACGAAUGUGGUCGUCCUCAACCAGUUCCUCACGCGGCCUCCGCGCAAGCCCUCUCAUGUAUGCUUACACCAAAAGUGCUUACUUGAAGGGGUAG
rnacentral:rRNA from 1 species